rnacentral:rRNA from 1 species
UGACCGCUGGCGGCGUGCCUAAUACAUGCAAGUCGAGCGAACGGACGAGAAGCUUGCUUCUCUGAUGUUAGCGGCGGACGGGUGAGUAACACGUGGAUAACCUACCUAUAAGACUGGGAUAACUUCGGGAAACCGGAGCUAAUACCGGAUAAUAUUUUGAACCGCAUGGUUCAAAAGUGAAAGACGGUCUUGCUGUCACUUAUAGAUGGAUCCGCGCUGCAUUAGCUAGUUGGUAAGGUAACGGCUUACCAAGGCAACGAUGCAUAGCCGACCUGAGAGGGUGAUCGGCCACACUGGAACUGAGACACGGUCCAGACUCCUACGGGAGGCAGCAGUGGGGAAUCUUCCGCAAUGGGCGAAAGCCUGACGGAGCAACGCCGCGUGAGUGAUGAAGGUCUUCGGAUCGUAAAACUCUGUUAUUAGGGAAGAACAUAUGUGUAAGUAACUGUGCACAUCUUGACGGUACCUAAUCAGAAAGCCACGGCUAACUACGUG